UGGAAGAUUCGAACCUGCCGCAGGUUCGGGUCGAACGCAGUGAGACAACGGAGCCGUUUACGGCGACGGCCCGAAGGGCGAGCGAAGCGAGUCAUCCUGCACGACCCAUCA
rnacentral:sRNA from 2 species